rnacentral:rRNA from 1 species
UGGGGAAUUUUGGACAAUGGGCGCAAGCCUGAUCCAGCCAUGCCGCGUGAGUGAAGAAGGCCUUCGGGUUGUAAAGCUCUUUCGGACGGGAAGAAAUGGCGGGCUCUAACAUAGCCUGUCGAUGACGGUACCGGGAGAAGAAGCUGCGGCUAACUACGUGCCAGCAGCCGCGGUAAUACGUAGGCAGCAAGCGUUGUUCGGAGUUACUGGGCGUAAAGAGUGCGUAGGCGGUUUUCUAAGUUCGGUGUGAAAUCUCCCGGCUUAACUGGGAGGGUGCGCCGAAGACUGGGAAGCUGGAGUGUGGGAAAGGCUGGCGGAAUUCCAGGUGUAGCGGUGAAAUGCGUAGAUAUCAGGAGGAACACCGGCGGUGUAGACGGCUUGCUAGACCAUAACUGACGCUGAGGCACGAAAGCGUGGGUAGCAAACA